rnacentral:rRNA from 1 species
UACGUAGGGCGCGAGCGUUGUCCGGAAUUAUUGGGCGUAAAGAGCUCGUAGGUGGUUGGUCGCGUCUGCCGUGAAAACCCAUGGCUUAACUGUGGGCUUGCGGUGGAUACGGGCCGACUUGAGGUAGGUAGGGGAGAAUGGAAUUCCCGGUGUAGCGGUGAAAUGCGCAGAUAUCGGGAGGAACACCGGUGGCGAAGGCGGUUCUCUGGGCCUUACCUGACGCUGAGGAGCGAAAGCGUGGGGAGCAAACAGG